ensembl:snoRNA
UCUCCAGUGAUGUUGUACAUACUUUCGUUCUUCUGAGUCAACUGAAGCCACACUUAAUGUCCUGAGCAGA